rnacentral:rRNA from 1 species
UGGCUCAGAUUGAACGCUGGCGGCAUGCUUUACACAUGCAAGUCGGACGGCAGCACAGAGAAGCUUGCUUCUUGGGUGGCGAGUGGCGAACGGGUGAGUAAUAUAUCGGAACGUACCGAGUAAUGGGGGAUAACUAAUCGAAAGAUUAGCUAAUACCGCAUAUUCUCUGAGGAGGAAAGCAGGGGACCUUCGGGCCUUGCGUUAUUCGAGCGGCCGAUAUCUGAUUAGCUAGUUGGUGGGGUAAAGGCCUACCAAGGCGACGAUCAGUAGCGGGUCUGAGAGGAUGAUCCGCCACACUGGGACUGAGACACGGCCCAGACUCCUACGGGAGGCAGCAGUGGGGAAUUUUGGACAAUGGGCGCAAGCCUGAUCCAGCCAUGCCGCGUGUCUGAAGAAGGCCUUCGGGUUGUAAAGGACUUUUGUCAGGGAAGAAAAGGCUGUUGCUAAUACCGACAGCUGAUGACGGUACCUGAAGAAUAAGCACCGGCUAACUACGUGCCAGCAGCCGCGGUAAUACGUAGGGUGCGAGCGUUGUCCGGAAUUAUUGGGCGUAAAGAGCUUGUAGGCGGUUUGUCGCGUCUGCUGUGAAAGGCCGGAGCUUAACUCCGUGUAUUGCAGUGGGUACGGGCAGACUAGAGUGCAGUAGGGGAGACUGGAAUUCCUGGUGUAGCGGUGGAAUGCGCAGAUAUCAGAGGAACACCGAUGGCGAAAGCAGGUCUCUGGGCUGUAACUGACGCUGAGAAGCGAAAGCAUGGGGAGCGAACAGGAUUAGAUACCCU